AGCGAACGCUGGCGGCAGGCUUAACACAUGCAAGUCGAGCGGGCAUCCUUGUGGUGUCAGCGGCAGACGGGUGAGUAACGCGUGGGAACGUGCCCUUCGGUUCGGAAUAACUCAGGGAAACUUGAGCUAAUACCGGAUACGUGCGAGAGCAGAAAGGUUUAUCUGCCGAAGGAUCGGCCCGCGUCUGAUUAGCUAGUUGGUGAGGUUACGGCUCACCAAGGCGACGAUCAGUAGCUGGUCUGAGAGGAUGAUCAGCCACACUGGGACUGAGACACGGCCCAGACUCCUACGGGAGGCAGCAGUAGGGAAUAUUGGACAAUGGGGGCAACCCUGAUCCAGCCAUGCCGCGUGAGUGAUGACGGCCUUAGGGUUGUAAAGCUCUUUUCUCCGGGACGAUAAUGACGGUACCGGAGGAAUAAGCCCCGGCUAACUUCGUG
rnacentral:rRNA from 1 species